UCGGGAUAACUGUCCGUAAUUACCGAGUUUAUGACACUUCACAGUUAUUAAGGAAGACGAAAACAAAACUUGAGCGUCAAAUGUUCGCCCUUAAUCUCAAAAAUAAUUGUUCGUCGCGUCCGUGUUGUAAAGCUUGUCGACGAAAACCCCAGGUAUUUGUUCCAUCACGAUGGAUACCUGAACCUUUGUCCGCCACUUCAUAUUAAUCCAUUACAUUUCCUAAACCCCCACCACUCAAAUAAGAACCAAUAUAUAUACACCAUCUUUCCCUCAGCCUAGGUUCAUUUCAAAACGUGCGUCAGUUCGGAUACGUUUGAAACGAGUAACAGUUCAGAUUUAUUGAAAAAGUGCGUCUACUCGGAUCUAUCUAAUUUCCCGUUGUGUCGUGGCGUGGCAAUAUAACGUCGUAACGUGUGGAACGGAAAACUCGACGAGGACGAACAACCUCCUGUAGGACACCGGUCGGUACGAGCAUUGUCGCCUGGUCAUCGAGCUACGUCGAAUCAGCCAUCGGGUGAUCACGUACAACCGCGCGCAGCUGCUUCUCCGUGGCAUAGAAAUUCUUAUCUUCUUUAUUCUUCUCAUUUCCGUAAACGAAGGGGGCCGAGUGAGUACCGAAUUGGGAAAUAAAGUUGGAGACCAUACAUGCCCAAUAUAUGGAUUCGCCUAAGAAUUCGUCUAUGGAUUUCUGUGUGGAUUCAUCUUUGUGUUUUUCUAUGGAUCCAACUGUGGAUUUCUCUAUGGAGUCGCCUAUGGGAUCGCCUAUUGGGUCCCAUAUUGGGUCCCCUAUGGGGUCCCCUAUGGAUUCGCCCAAGGAUUCGACCAAGGAUUCGACCAAGGAUUCGACCAAGGAUUCGCCCAAGGAUUCGCCCAAUGUACAACGCUGUCGAUAUUGUGGAAAAUGUAGUCAUUCUUGCAAUAAGAGUUCUUGCUACAAAAGUGUAGCCAGUGAAGCAGCACUACGCUUCAGCUACUGUUUCAACGUAUAGACCAAUUCACCAACAGUUCAAUUAUCAUGCAUCAUCGUCAUUCUUAUUUACCGGAUGAUAAACUUGCCGCGACUACACUGCUAAAACAUACUACACAAUUCUAUGUUUGACUGUACCAGUAGUCGUAGAAAUAAACGUACAUACGAAGGAAAAUGUAGAUAUAAACACAGAUAUCGAAAAAGUAAAUGCCAUCGCAGAUACAGAUAUAGACAGCGGAAUUUAAAUUCAAAAUAUAUUAUGAUAUUGCAUUGUUAACUAACAUGUAAGUCUAUACAUGUAAAUUUAUACCAGUACCGUUACCACGAGAUUUAGCAAGUGAGAAAGUAUGUUAAUGUAAUGUAAUGUAAUGUAAUAAAUAAUGUAAUAAUAAUGUAAUAAAAUACGAAUGAAAUGUAAA